GGCACAACAAAGCAGCUGCAAAGCUUGUCUCCUAAGCAUGUAUGGUGACAGAAUACCUAGAUAAGACCAGAAAGACCUGUUGGAGAUCCUAAGUAAAUGGGAGAUUGAAAUCGUCUGGCCCAGAUUUCCUUUCUGACUUCCCUGGGAACCAAACUACUUUCUGUGAUUUCAAGACUUGAUUUUAAAUAAACAAGCAACUAAGAAACAAGAGAAAGUUGGGUACCCGUGGGCUCCUUGAAAACAUCGAUUCCUCUCCUCUGCCCUGCUUUCAAUUCUGCUAUGGAAGAGCCAACAUCCAAGCUGACAGAAGUCAUCUCAGAGCCCACAGUUGAACUGGAAGAUGAGCUCAAAAAUAUCAAUCUGUCCAGCCCAUUAGAGAAGGCAAAGCCAGGCAAGAGGGUUGAGUGGUCAAGUGACACUAUUGAUAAUGAGCACUUGGGCCGUCGCUCUUCCAAAUGUUGCUGUGUUUAUGAGAAGCCUCGUGCCUUUGGUGAGAGCUCCUCAGAAAGUGAAAAAGAGGAUGAUGACAAUUGUGCUAUACUCUGUGCCUGGGGUCAUCACAAGGGAAGACGCCAUGUUCUUUCAAGCACUGAUGCUAGUACUUCAUCUUCAAAGCCUCAAGAUCCAUCUGAAUCCCUUCCUUCUCCCAUUAAUGACUAAGUGUCAUCUUGCUUCUCUUAUGCCUGAACCAGACUGAACAGCAAUAUGUCCAUGUUGCUACUCAGGGAUUAAAUACUGUUGAUUCUUGUA